CUCAGAACGAACGCUGGCGGCGCGUCUUAAGCAUGCAAGUCGAACGGCAAGAGGUAGCAAUACCUCCUAGAGUGGCGGACUGGUGAGUAACACGUGGGUGACAUACCCUUCAGAUGGGGGAUAGCUAUUAGAAAUAGUAGAUAAUACCGAAUACGAGCACAGGGGUUAGAGAUCUGUGAGGAAAGGAGCUAAGGCUCCGCUGAAGGAAUGGCCUGCGGCCCAUUAGCUAGUUGGUGAGGUAAGAGCCCACCAAGGCGAUGAUGGGUAUCCGGCCUUAGAGGGUGAACGGACACAUUGGGACUGAGAUACGGCCCAGACUCCUACGGGAGGCAGCAGCUAAGAAUAUUCCGCAAUGGACGAAAGUCUGACGGAGCGACGCCGCGUGGAUGAAGAAGGCCGGAAGGUUGUAAAAAUCCUUUUGAAACUGAAGAAUAAGCGUUGCAGGGAAUGACAGCGUGGUGACAGUAGGUUUUGAAUAAGCAACGGCUAAUUACGUGCCAGCCGCCGC
rnacentral:rRNA from 1 species